CUCGGGCAGCCCAGAGCCUGGGCCUCCUGGUCACACUCUGAGCACACAGCCCAUUUUCUCUCCAGUGCUGGCUUGUGUUUGACACCAUGCCUGACACAUUGGGGGUGCUCAGUAGACCUGUGUGAGAUGGACAGCCUCCCGUACAGAUGGACGGACAGAUGUACAGAUAAGAAAAUAGAGGCAUAGAGAAGUCACUUGCUAGUAAAUGUUAGAGGCAGCUUUCUAACCCAGGUCCAUGUGAACCCAGAAAAAGAGGCAGUGAGCACCUGUUCACCCAGGAGCAGCUCUCAGAAGAUAAGAUAAUACGAGGAGGAGGCAGCAGACCCCUAUGCCACGCGUCCACCUGGGGCACACUGCAGCCCCGUGGAGAUGCCCUGUGUAAGCCACUGAAGCCUCUGGCCAACAGCAGUGGGAACCUGAGACGUGUCCACAAGCAUGCAUGGGAGCUUGGAAGUGGAUCCUUCAGCCCCAGCCAAGCCUUCAGACGAUGCAGCCUCAGGGACAGUAUGACUGCAGCCUCAUGAGACCCUGAGCCAGAAACACCCCUCCAAGCCACUCCCAGAUGCCUGGCCCUCAGAACCUGGGAGGUAAUAAAUAUUUAUGGCUGUUUGAAGCUGCUGUAUCGGGGGACAAUUUGUUACACAGUAAUAGCUAACUGGUGCAGUCCUGGGACUCUUAGCAGUUUGGAGUAUCAGUUAUUUUGCCAAGGCGGGGAAGUUAACAGUGGUCAUUGCAGCAGCUGCACUUGGGGACCACAAUAAAGAAGCUUUCUCAGACUGGUUUGAACAAAGUGGUGAAUUCUCUGCAAGGACACAGAGGUGUCUCUCAAAACCCAAGGAUGGGACAGCAGGCCUCAAGAAGAACUGGAACCUCUGUCCCUUCUGUGCUUCUUUUUACUCCUGUGUUCUCUGCUUCUUGGAGCACUUGGCAGUUGGGAA
rnacentral:lncRNA from 10 species